rnacentral:rRNA from 1 species
UACGUAGGGGGCGAGCGUUGUCCGGAUUUAUUGGGCGUAAAGAGCUCGUAGGCGGUCGUGUAAGUCGGGUGUGAAAUCUCCGGGCUCAACUCGGAGGGGCCACCCGAUACUGCUCGACUCGAGUCCGGUAGGGGAGUGGGGAAUUCCUGGUGUAGCGGUGAAAUGCGCAGAUAUCAGGAGGAACACCGGUGGCGAAGGCGCCACUCUGGGCCGGUACUGACGCUGAGGAGCGAAAGCGUGGGUAGCAAACAGG